AUGAACGCUGGCGGCGUGCCUAAUGCCUGCAAGUCGAGCGCACGGACGAGAAGCUUGCUUCUCUGAUGUUAGCGGCGGACGGGUGAGUAACACGUGGAUAACCUACCUAUAAGACUGGGAUAACUUCGGGAAACCGUAGCUAAUACCGGAUAAUAUUUUGAACCGCAUGGUUCAAAAGUGAAAGACGGUCUUGCUGUCACUUAUAGAUGGAUCCGCGCUGCAUUAGCUAGUUGGUAAGGUAACGGCUUACCAAGGCAACGAUGCAUAGCCGACCUGAGAGGGUGAUCGGCCACACUGGAACUGAGACACGGUCCAGACUCCUACGGGAGGCAGCAGUAGGGAAUCUUCCGCAAUGGGCGAAAGCCUGACGGAGCAACGCCGCGUGAGUGAUGAAGGUCUUCGGAUCGUAAAACUCUGUUAUUAGGGAAGAACAUAUGUGUAAGUAACUGUGCACAUCUUGACGGUACCUAAUCAGAAAGCCACGGCUAACUACGUG
rnacentral:rRNA from 1 species